UGCAUUCACUACUGUAAGUCGCUCUGGAUAAGAGUGUCUACUAAAUGACUUAAA
rfam:Salmo salar isolate Sally breed double haploid chromosome ssa10, whole genome shotgun sequence.